AGCCCUGUUGUUUUUUCCCCCUUAUUUGGAUCUGCUCUUCGAUUGAAUUGGAAAAAAUAAAGCGAUAAACCCUAGCUCUUCAUUCUUUGUGUGUUCGUUCUUUUUCAUCAUCUUCCUCGUUCUCUUCCAUCCUCUUCCUCAUUUUGAAGCAGUCCAAUUGGAGAUUGGCAUUUCUGAAUUGGCGAUUGGGUCUCAAAAUUGGAGAUAAUAGAAAUUGGCGAAUUGCAUUUCUGGAUUGACGGGAAGAACAAGUUUUGUUGUAUAGGUGACAAGAAAGUUGGUAAUGAUCCAUUGACUGCAUUCGGCUUUGGUGGAUGCAAAAUGACCAAUCAAGUACAAAAGUUCGAGUUUGUAGAAAGUAUAACCAGCUGAAACAUCACUGCUGCCAUUAUUUCUCUGUUUGUACAAUGCGACUCCUUCAAAUUACAUUUCUAUGAUUGUUACAGACUUUGGCAUGGUCAAUUUUCUGCCAGUUGAAAUUGAAUACAUGAACUGCAACCUAUUUUUGAGGGGGUUUUGGAGUAAAAAAGAAACUGAGGUGUUGUACAGUAAAGAAAAUAUUCAUCUUGAAGUUUGCCAGCCCUUCCGGUAAGCAAGUGCAGACCAAGCACGCUCUGCUGUUGGUUCUGGGCAAUCUUCUCUUGGAAUCAAAGAUCUACAUUGGUGAGAGUGGACAACAAAUAUGUAUGUUUGAGUAGGACAAAUAUUUCAUGGUUACUGAUGGGAAGACACAAAUGCUGGGUAUAUUAACAAAUGAAACAAAGUGCCUGAGGUGUGAGACCGUCACAACUAGAAAUGCGACAUUCUUCGUUCUAAGCCGUGAUAUAGAACAGAACAACUCCAUCCAAGGAUGGUGCAUAUAUUCAAGAAUUACAAGCUACUUUAAAUAUGUGAAGAUUCACAGGGGUUUUGGCACAUAAUUAUUAUAUAGGUUUUGAAAAAUAAAGUUAUCGGAUCGUGAUCGCAGGAUAAUUUUUUAUUUUAAUGGAUUUAGUUUUAGAACCUAUAUUUUUUUUACUAUUCAGACAACUGUAAUAGAUAUUAUGCUUAUAGAAUUAAGCUACUUGAAAUGUAUACGUUUUUUGAACUUAUUUGUUAUGAAAAUCUUAUUAUACGCA